GAUGAACGCUGGCGGCGUGCUUAACACAUGCAAGUCGAACGGAAAGGCUCCUGCUUGCAGGGGUACUCGAGUGGCGAACGGGUGAGUAACACGUGGGUGAUCUGCCCUGCACUUCGGGAUAAGCCUGGGAAACUGGGUCUAAUACCGGAUAGGACCACAUUUUGGAUGGUGUGGUGGAAAGUUUUUCGGUGUGGGAUGAGCUCGCGGCCUAUCAGCUUGUUGGUGGGGUAAUGGCCUACCAAGGCGUCGACGGGUAGCCGGCCUGAGAGGGUGUACGGCCACAUUGGGACUGAGGUACGGCCCAGACUCCUACGGGAGGCAGCAGUGGGGAAUAUUGCACAAUGGGCGCAAGCCUGAUGCAGCGACGCCGCGUGGGGGAUGACGGCCUUCGGGUUGUAAACUCCUUUCGCUAGGGACGAAGCGCAAGUGACGGUACCUGGAGAAGAAGCACCGGCUAACUACGUG
rnacentral:rRNA from 1 species